rnacentral:rRNA from 4 species
UCCGACCUCAGAUCGGACGAGAUUACCCGCUGAAUUUAAGCAUAUAACUAAGCGGAGGAAAAGAAACUAACAAGGAUUUC